AUAUUGCACAAUGGGGGAAACCCUGAUGCAGCGACGUCGCGUGAACGAUGAAGGCUUUCGAGUCGUAAAGUUCUGUCCUAUGGGACGACAAUGACGGUACCAUAGGAGGAAGCCCCGGCUAACUACGUGCCAGCAGCCGCGGUAAUACGUAGGGGGCGAACGUUGUCCGGAAUUAUUGGGCGUAAAGGGUACGCAGGCGGCCGUGUAAGUCAGAUGUGAAAGGUCAGGGCUUAACCCUGGUUAGCAUUUGAAACUGUGUGGCUUGAGUUAAGGAGAGGAAAGUGGAAUCCCUAGUGUAGCGGUGAAAUGCGUAGAUAUUAGGGGGAAUACCAGUGGCGAAGGCGACUUUCUGGACUUAUACUGACGCUGAGGUACGAAAGCGUGGGGAGCAAACA
rnacentral:rRNA from 1 species